GAUCCUGGCUCAGGAUGAACGCUAGCUACAGGCUUAACACAUGCAAGUCGAGGGGCAGCAUGGUCUUAGCUUGCUAAGGCCGAUGGCGACCGGCGCACGGGUGAGUAACGCGUAUCCAACCUGCCUUACGACUCUUGGACAGCCUUCUGAAAGGGAGAUUAAUACAAGAUGUUAUCGAUGAGUAAGCAUUUUCGCAUGAUUAAAGGUUUACCGGUGUAAGAUGGGGAUGCGUUCCG
rnacentral:rRNA from 1 species